GAGAGAAUUCUACACUGGUACAGGAUUUACGGAAUAGACCCUCACCUUAGCCAAUAUCAAAAACCAGAAACGGAAAACAAACGAGAUGACUUGAUUCCCAUGAAAGCUAAGGUUUCACCAUGGAUCUUGACUCUCGCCAACAUCACACCAAGCCGGAAAGUUCGAAGACAAAACAUAAUACAUUAUUAAAUAUAAUAAAUCUUAGGGUUUAUGCAAACGUUACUUAUGGCCCAAGAACAAUAUGUGAAAGAAGAGCUUAGCUCUUAAGGCUUGGCUUACAGUUAUGGAUCUCGGACUCCGACGAUGUAAACUACAACUCCGGUGACACACUGCAGCUCUCCCGUGACAUGGCCUACUCCUCCACUAGUUCACGGCUGAUGGUGGUGGAGAUCAACGAUCGAUGGUGAUGAGACGCGACAACUCCGAUCCGUACGUCAUCUCUUCCUCCUCUUGGCUCCAUAACACAACGCCAACAAGAGGAUGCUCCAUGACAGUAGCUGUACCCUUCUGGUGAUGAACAAUAGCUCUGGUGAAAUGAGGUGAGAUGGCUCACGGUUGUGGAUGCGUAACGUCUUCUCCGACAUCAAACGUACGAGACCACAAGAAGAAUAAGAGGGGGAAGAGGAAAUGAGAAUUAAUAAUAUAUAAUAAGAAGAAGAAUAACAGUGGAGAAUGAAGGAGAUGGAAUCGACAUGACGGUGGUGCACUCAAACGCACAAUGACGGCUCCUCAUAGAAGGAGAAAAACUUAUGAUAAUAAAAUUAGGUAAAUAGCUAUUUAUACAUAGGAUUGGUUUACGAAUGGUUUAGAUGGAUAGAUACUUUGGUUCAAUCCAAAUUAAUUAAAGGGAAAGAAAAAAAAACAAACCAACUGGUUAAGGAAACCGGGUCGUUACAAUUCUUCCCUACUUAAUCGGAAUUCGUCCCGAAUUCUUAGAGAGAACUAGGAAAGGAUUUAAACGACUAUGAAGGAAGAAGAACAAGAGAUGAGAAAACAAAGGAAACGAACAUAACCUUGGCCUUCUCCUACAAAGAAAAAAAAAGAGAAACACUACGAACUAACCGAAUGAUACUGGACUUCUUGGUGUCAAUUUUUUUUUUAAAACUCCAAUUCCGAAACAUUGAAAACCGUUGAAAUCUGAGUCCCAUAAAUCGCCGUCCCGGGUCAGAGCCGGGACGGAACCCCGCUCUGAUACCAAAUUGUAACACCCGUCUCCUCCUCUCUCGAGAACGGCGUGCUACUAACCGGAAUAUACCAAAUUAAAUUGAUUUAUAAAACUGAAUAAAAUGUAAACCUUUAAAUAAAAUAAUUUCCAAAUAAAACUGGUUUAUAAUUUAAAAACCAAAUACAUUAAAUUGAAAAGUUAAUUAAAACCGAAAUAAAAUACAACGAUCCCAAGACACCAAUCCGUCCAGAUAUCCAACACUCAACAAGCUCACCUGCAAGGGGAAGAAGAGGGGUGAGCAACAGGGGAGUUACUCCGUGAGGUAUUGGGAUGCUAAACACGCAAACCACUGACUUGAGUAAAUAGAACUCCCACUAUGGAAGUUUAGCUCUAACAUGAACACACACGACGCCUAGCGCGUCACACAAACCAAACAAUGCGAUGAUAGCAUAAAGCUAGUCCUUACACCCCGCAUCUCCUCAUAUGGAUAUAUAAUACGUAGCGUCGCUAGUACAGUAUGUCUCUGUACCCCCGCCCUCUCAAGUAGCGUCCAUGAUACAAACGUCUCUGCACCACACGCCCGCACAAGUAGCAUCGCAAGUCCAGACGUCUCUGAACCCCUGCCCGCACAACCAAAGUAGCGUCACUAGCCCAGACAUCUCUGAGCCCCCGCCCGCGCACAUAGUCCCUACUAUUAACUAUGUAUACAUAUAUAUAUAUAUCGCAUCUCUUAACAUCACACAAUCCAAUCAAAGGUUGAAUCCUCUAGACCCCUAGUUCCAGUUUACAAUAAAUGAAUUAGCUAACAAUCAAGACUCAAUUCAAACAGACGGAUCAUGAUUCGAAAUCUAAACUACGAUAGAGAGAAUUCUACACUGGUACAGGAUUUACGGAAUAGACCCUCACCUUAGCCAUAUCAAAAACCAGAAACGGAAAACAAACGAGAUGACUUGAUUCCCAUGAAAGCUAAGGUUUCACCAUGGAUCUUGACUCUCGCCAACAUCACACCAAGCCGGAAAGUUCGAAGACAAAACAUAAUACAUUAUUAAAUAUAAUAAAUCUUAGGGUUUAUGCAAACGUUACUUAUGGCCCAAG
rnacentral:lncRNA from 1 species